rnacentral:rRNA from 1 species
CCUACGGGAGGCUGCAGUGAGGAAUAUUGGUCAAUGGGAGAGAUCCUGAACCAGCCAAGCCGCGUGAGGGAAGACGGCCCUAUGGGUUGUAAACCUCUUUUGUCGGAGAACAAAACCCGGGACGUGUCCCGGACUGCGUGUCUCCGAAGAAAAAGCAUCGGCUAACUCCGUGCCAGCAGCCGCGGUAAUACGGAGGAUGCGAGCGUUAUCGGGAUUUAUGGGGUGUACAGGGUGCGUAGGCGGUCCGUUAAGUCAGCGGGAAAAUUGCGGGGCUCAACCCCGUCGAGCCGUUGAAACUGGCAGACUUGAGUUGGGGAGAAGUACGCGGAAUGCGCGGUGUAGCGGUGAAAUGCAUAGAUAUCACGCAGAACUCCGAUUGCGAAGGCAGCAUACCGGCGGCGAUCUGACGCUGAGGAACGAAAGCGUGGGUAUCGAACAGGAUUAGAUACCCUAGUAGUC